GGGUCUGCUCAGGACACUUUCCAAUGCAUCUUCGGAGACGGUGACCACUGCUUUUGGAGGAGCAGCCAACAGACAUCAACAUACUCCAGGGACUUUGGGGAACUUGCUGCUUGUUAGUGGCAACAAGAGGAACUCAAGCAAUGAUGUCAGCAGAGAGAGAAAUGAACCAAUGGCGAUACAAGUUUGAGAGAUGAAGCUGAGACUUUCAGUUUGUAGAGAAGAACACACUGAUUUUCUCAGAGUCUUCCCUGCAGUAGCUCUGGCUGGCAAGAAAUGCAUAAUGAGAAUAACCAAAUUGGAUGGUCUCGACUACAUCAAAUCAUUUGUUUCAACAGCGCCUUAAUGCUCCAUUUCCAUAAGGUCACAUUUCUGACGGGAUGGUGUCGGAGCUGAGUGUGUUUCAGAGUGCCAGAUUUCCUCACCACCUGGAGAUGAGGACUUCGGUGUGGUCUGCCAGAAGGCAUGAGUGCUCUGUGAUGGACAUGCAUUAUCCCUUUCAUGAAUUAGACAGGUGCUGUGAUGUUCAAGAGAGGUUAGGAUGCCUCAGAGGCCUCAGUUUUUGUGGAGCCCUGUGUUUCUCGUUGAAAGAAGUGGUAAAAUGCCCUUGAAGAGGAAGAUGCAUACACAGCUCAGAGUGGACAGUCUUUUCCCAGUCGGAUGCAAACACAUCUCACUGCAUAGCACUAGCAAGAACCUUAAUUUGUCCUUGAUUUUCCAGAAAGGAAACUGUCUGAAUUAACACUGUCUUGUUUUGCAUUUCUCAGUAUGACACCAAUUAAUUUUCAAUUAGAAGACUUAUUCUAAAUUUCACGGCAUGCUUUCGUGGAAACGAGGCUUUGAUUUUCAGUUCCUAAGACAUCCAUGCCAACCCUUCUGUGGGAGCCUCAGAUCCACCAUGACCCAGACCAGCUGGCAAUUUGCCCCAGUGAAACGUAAAUUUUCCAAAACGCCCAACUGUGAACGAUGUUUUUUUCCACAGUAACAUUGCAUCGAUUCCAGGCAUUCAGAAGCAUAUCAGAUUCUUGUGUCUGGCACACUUUCCUUUAAGAUGUGCCUCUAAUGAAUUGUCCACAGCUUCAAUCUGCCCCCAGAUUACCUUCUCUUUUGGAGAGGCCUAAUGAAUAAAAAUUGCCUUAACAUUUCAGCUCUGAGACCUCUAACCAGACACCUGGCUAACAUGUGGAGCCUGCUGGCAGUCUAGGUAGAGCCUGCAAGUCCUGUAUGUGUGGAAAGGACAAGUGAAGAAGUAACAAAAUGAGAAAGAAGGCAAAAGCGGGAAGAAGGCAAUUCAUUUCUCCCAUGUUGGUGUUGGAAGCUAAACUUGAAGUGCAGUGGUGCCACUGGUGCAUCAGGACAACAGGAGGAGAACAGGGAUUCUGGCUUUCAGUAAGAGCUCAGCACAUAACAGGUCUGUCAGCUUUAAAAAAUACUCUUUGCAUAAGGGGAUGAGAGAAGGAGGGGCGUCAAGAAACCCCGUUUCUGCUUUCUUCCGAUACAGCAUGUGGUUGCACCAAGAAGCUCCUGGCCACUGGCAAUGGUGAAGACUGAAAAUAUUAGAGAAUUAGAAAAGUUAAAGGCGAGGACCGGACUUCUUGGUGCUCUCUGUAGUGGGCUGGGAACAACCACUGAUGCAGGGAGC